AGGGACUCGUCCCUUCACUUUACUAUUACAUGUAUUUUAUACAGAAAAGUGAAUAUGAAAGCUAAGAUAGUGCCCAGGUCCCUCCCAUUUCAGUCACAAAAUUACGAGACUUCAUGUUUGUCACUAGGAUUCCAUACCUACAGCAAAAACAACGAGCGAAUACGAAUGGAAUAUUUGUGGGUUAUGACAGACUCAAAGAUCAGAAUUCAGUUUUUGUCAAUUAGUUUAGAUUACUUUUAUUGUUUGCCAUGACACAUGUAAAAUAAAGAAAUUAAAAAAG
rnacentral:misc_RNA from 1 species